AUCGCACUGAAAAUAAUUACAUAUUUACAAUGCAUUCAAUUGUUACGUUAUUGUCAUUUAAAUAUUUUUCCUAUGCAUUAUUGGAUAAAAUUCUUACAAUUUUCAUGAUUUACUCGAAUUGUAAAAUUGUAAAAGAAUUUUGACAAGACAUUCGAUCAUCGAAGAAAUUCAAAGCUUAUCCGCGCAAGUCAAGACUCGCGAUAACCUUUUCCUUGAAAAAUCAUUUUAAAGCGGAAGUGACGCGAAAGAUAAAUCAUGGUCGUAUGCGAUUACGUUGACCGUGCACUUGAAUUACACACAGUUAGUACAGCCGUUGUACAGUCAAAUAACGAAAUAAUUCAUUACUCAAAUCAUUCAUACCGUCUAAAUGAAGUUCACAGCUUUUGUAUGAAGUUAGUGCAAAUGCAAUUGAUGUAUCGAGAGAAUAAAUAACCCGAAAAGAAAGUAAUUUGGUGCUAUAAGUGAUGAAUACACGCUGAUAAGGCGCCAUUAAUGAACGAAUACUGUUACAAUUAAUCCUCAAGAACAUAAACAUGUUGGUUUAAAGGAACAAUAAGUAGAUAAUUACAAUACUGUAAUGUGUUGUGUACGUGAAAAAUAUUAUACGACAUAGUUCGAUAAAUUCGAGUAGACUAAAAUUAUUCCAAAUAAAACAUUUGAGAAUCAGUUGGAAAUAUUUCGAUGAAGGUCGAAUUAAGAAAUUUUUUUAUUCAAUUUAAUGCAAAUUUAAGGCGUCUUAUUUAUUGCAAAAUUGUUUUCAUCUUCGUCGGAUGAAAAUUAAAUUUUAAACAUUUCAUAUUAAAUGAGAUUAAAUCGAAUUCA